rnacentral:misc_RNA from 1 species
GUAACAAGGUCUCCGUUGGUGAACCAGCGGAGGGAUCAUUACCGAGUUUACAACUCCCAAACCCCUGUGAACAUACCACUUGUUGCCUCGGCGGAUCAGCCCGCUCCCGGUAAAACGGGACGGCCCGCCAGAGGACCCCUAAACUCUGUUUCUAUAUGUAACUUCUGAGUAAAACCAUAAAUAAAUCAAAACUUUCAACAACGGAUCUCUUGGUUCUGGCAUCGAUGAAGAACGCAGCAAAAUGCGAUAAGUAAUGUGAAUUGCAGAAUUCAGUGAAUCAUCGAAUCUUUGAACGCACAUUGCGCCCGCCAGUAUUCUGGCGGGCAUGCCUGUUCGAGCGUCAUUUCAACCCUCAAGCACAGCUUGGUGUUGGGACUCGCGUUAAUUCGCGUUCCCCAAAUUGAUUGGCGGUCACGUCGAGCUUCCAUAGCGUAGUAGUAAAACCCUCGUUACUGGUAAUCGUCGCGGCCACGCCGUUAAACCCCAACUUCUGAAUGUUGACCUCGGAUCAGGUAGGAAUACCCGCUGAACUUAAGCAUAUCA